GAGGGGUACGGAGGAGGCGGGGCGAGCCUGCAGCGUCAGAGGCGUCGUGACGUUGCAGCAGCCCGAAGCGCGCCGUGCGUUCUCCCGGGUGAGAACCAGGAGAUGAAGUGACUCACCUAAGGCCACCUGGGUGCUAAAUGACAGAGCCUGGUUGCAUCACAGGCACCGAGGAAAAGCCAUGGGAGUAAACAGCAAGAAGGCGGCUGUCUACAACCAAAGGGAGAGCUCUCAUCAGACACUAACCCUACUGGCACCUUGAUCUUGGACUUCCACUCUUCAGAUCUGUGAGAAGAUAAAAAUUUAUAUUAUUUAAGCCCCCCAGUCUGUGGUAUUUUGUUAAAAGCAGCCUGAGCUGACUAACACACCGGGUGAUCCACUUGACUCUCUCCUUGUGCUCCUUUGCCACAUUUUCUGUAGCUUGCCGGUCAUUGAGUGGAGCUGUUUCUUCACGUUGAGAUGGUGAUCUCUGGGAGCGAUUCGUCAUUUGAUAUUACGUGGGGCUGAGAGGUCUCUGGUGGACCAAUGUCC